AAAACCUACGGGACGCAGCAGUGAGGAAUAUUGGUCAAUGGGCUUACGCCUGAACCAGCCAAGUCGCGUGAGGGAAGACUGCCCUAUGGGUUGUAAACCUCUUUUGUCAGGGAGCAACGCCGGCUACGUGUAGCCGGACUGAGAGUACCUGAAGAAAAAGCAUCGGCUAAUUCCGUGCCAGCAGCCGCGGUAAUACGGAGGAUGCGCGCGUUAUCCGGAUUUAUUGGGUUUAAAGGGUGCGUAGGCGGAAUGCCAAGUC
rnacentral:rRNA from 1 species